rnacentral:rRNA from 1 species
UGGGGAAUAUUGCACAAUGGGCGCAAGCCUGAUGCAGCCAUGCCGCGUGUAUGAAGAAGGCCUUCGGGUUGUAAAGUACUUUCAGUCGGGAGGAAGGUGGUAAGGUUAAUAACCUUAUCAAUUGACGUUACCGACAGAAGAAGCACCGGCUAACUCCGUGCCAGCAGCCGCGGUAAUACGGAGGGUGCAAGCGUUAAUCGGAAUUACUGGGCGUAAAGCGCACGCAGGCGGUUGAUUGAGUCAGAUGUGAAAUCCCCGGGCUUAACCCGGGAAUUGCAUCUGAAACUGGUCAGCUAGAGUCUUGUAGAGGGGGGUAGGAUUCCAUGUGUAGCGGUGAAAUGCGUAGAGAUGUGGAGGAAUACCGGUGGCGAAGGCGGCCCCCUGGACAAAGACUGACGCUCAGGUGCGAAAGCGUGGGGAGCAAACAGG